rnacentral:rRNA from 1 species
UACGGAGGGGGCUAGCGUUGUUCGGAAUUACUGGGCGUAAAGCGCGCGUAGGCGGAUCUGCAAGUCGGGGGUGAAAUCCCGAGGCUCAACCUCGGAACUGCCUUCGAUACUGCGGGUCUCGAGUCCGGGAGAGGUGAGUGGAAUUCCUAGUGUAGAGGUGAAAUUCGUAGAUAUUAGGAAGAACACCAGUGGCGAAGGCGGCUCACUGGCCCGGUACUGACGCUGAGGCGCGACAGCAUGGGGAGCAAACAGG